GGUAAGUUUGUAGUAUAUAAUAUAUAUUUUUGUUUCCUUAUGAUUAUGUAUAUCAAUUGUUACUUAAAUUAUAAUUAAUGUGAAAUUUCAUUGUUUGCUUGUAAAUUAUUAAAUGUUGGAAUUAAGUACAAAUGGAAAAUGAAUAUUUGGUCGUGGCAAAUCUUGUGGUUUCACAAUUUUGAAAUGAAUGUAACAGAUUUAUAUUAUGUGUACAAAUAAUUAAUUAAGUAAAAAUCACUAAAUUGAAAAAGGUGCAAAAAUAGAUUUCUAUUAGGUAAAGGGGUCAAUUUAUUAUGGAUUAUCAAACUAAUGGACUUAAAUGGUAAAUGCACCAAAUGAACUUAGAGUGGAUGGUUUUGGGUGAUUAAAUGCAUGAAAUUUGAUUUUUUAAGGGAAAAAUUGUAAAUUUGUAAUUAAAUGGAAAUUAAAACAAACUAAAAGACAAAAAUGUUAUCAUCUCCUCUAAUUUGCUAUUUUGCAAACCGAAUAACAGAGAGGAAGAAGCUUCCGAUCAUGGAGUUUUUACAUGCAUGAUCAACAAACGAACCAAACAGAUCUAAACCAGGGAAAACCUAAUGUGUCAGAUUUGUCGGCUGCUUCAUUUUUACAACUAUAUUUGUCGAGGUAAGUUUGUAGUAUAUAAUAUAUAUGUUUGUUUCCUUAUGAUUAUGUAUAUCAAUUGUUAGUUAAAUUAUAAUUAAUGUGAAAAUUUCAUUGUUUGCUUGUAAAUUAUUAAAUGUUGGAAUUAAGUACAAAUGGAAAAUGAAUAUUUGGUCGUGGCAAAUCUUGUGGUUUCACAAUUUUGAAAUGAAUGUAACAGAUUUAUAUUAUGUGUACAGAUAAUUAAUUAAGUAAAAAUCACUAAAUUGAAAAAGGUGCAAAAAUAGAUUUCUAUUAGGUAAAGGGGUCAAUUUAUUAUGGAUUAUCAAACUAAUGGACUUAAAUGGUAAAUGCACCAAAUGAACUUAGAGUGGAUGGUUUUGGGUGAUUAAAUGCAUGAAAUUUGAUUUUUUAAGGGAAAAAUUGUAAAUUUGUAAUUAAAUGGAAAUUAAAACAAACUAAAAGACAAAAAUGUUAUCAUCUCCUCUAAUUUGCUAUUUUGCAAACCGAAUAACAGAGAGGAAGAAGCUUCCGAUCAUGGAGUUUUUAC